rnacentral:rRNA from 1 species
UACAGAGGUCCCGAGCGUUGUUCGGAUUCACUGGGCGUAAAGGGUGCGUAGGUGGCAUGGUAAGUUUGAUGUGAAAGCUCAGGGCUUAACCCUGAAAUGGCAUUGAAUACUACUGUGCUGGAGGUUUGGAGGGGGGACUGGAAUUCUUGGUGUAGCAGUGAAAUGCGCAGAUAUCAGGAGGAACACCGGUGGCGAAGGCGACUCACUGGCCCGAUACUGACGCUGAGGUGCGAAAGCGUGGGAGCAAACAGG